ACCAGGUAUGGUGGCACAUACCUGUAAUCCCAGUGACUCAGGAGGCUGAGGCAGGAGGAUUGUAAGUUCCAGGUUAGCCUGGGUAACUUAGUGACAUCCUAUCUCAA
rnacentral:sRNA from 1 species